rnacentral:rRNA from 1 species
UACGUAGGGGGCAAGCGUUGUCCGGAUUUAUUGGGCGUAAAGAGCGUGUAGGCGGCCAGGUAGGUCUGCUGUGAAAACUCGAGGCUUAACCUCGAGAUGUCGGCGGAAACCAUCUGGCUAGAGUCCGGAAGAGGAGAAUGGAAUUCCCGGUGUAGCGGUGAAAUGCGUAGAUAUCAGGAGGAACACCGGUGGCGAAGGCGGGUCUCGUGGGCCGAUGAUCGACGCUGGAGGAGCGAAAGCGUGGGGAGCGAACAGG